UUUGAUCCUGGCUCAAAACGAACGCUGGCGGCAUGCCUACCUCAUGCAAGUCAAACGAGAUCUUCGGAUCUAGGGGCGCACGGGGGCGUAACGCGGGGAAAUCUGCCCUUUGCUUCGAAAUAACAGUUAAAAAUGACUGCUAAUACCGGAUGAUGACUUCGGUCCAAAAAUUUAUCGGCAAGGGAUGACCCCGCGUAGGAUUAGGUAGUUGGGGGGGUAAAGGCCUACCAAGCCAACAAUCCUUAGCUGGUCUGAGAGGAUGAUCAGCCACACUGGGACUGAAACACGGCCCAAACUCCUACGGGAGGCAGCAGGGGGGAAUAUUGGACAAGGGGCGAAAGCCUGAUCCAGCAUUGCCGCGUGAGUGAUGAAGGCCUUAGGGUUGUAAAGCUCUUUUCCCAGGGAUGAUAAUGACAGUACCUGGAGAAUAAGCUCCGGCUAACUCCG
rnacentral:rRNA from 1 species